UACGUAGGGUGCAAGCGUUGUCCGGAAUUAUUGGGCGUAAAGAGCUUGUAGGCGGUUUGUCGCGUCUGCUGUGAAAUUUCGGGGCUCAACCCCGAACUUGCAGUGGGUACGGGCAGACUAGAGUGUGGUAGGGGGAGACUGGAAUUCCUGGUGUAGCGGUGAAAUGCGCAGAUAUCAGGAGGAACACCAAUGGCGAAGGCAGCACUCUGGGACGUGACUGACGGCUGAGACGCGGAAAAGCGUGGGGGAGCAAACAGG
rnacentral:rRNA from 1 species